AGAUCGGUUCAGUCGGCCAACCUGCAGAGGCAACUGAUGGCAGGGGGUUUACAAAGGCUGGGUGACCUGAGACUGCUGGGAGAGGAGGGGUGGAAAACCCCGGAGGUCUUGGCGCAACAAACAGGAAUAACGUCUCUUAGGCUGCUGGAGAGAUUCCUGGAGGAGGUCCAGGAGGCACUGUCUGAGCCGGAUGUUGGUGGGUGGAGCCGGGAGGAUGGUCAGCAAAAUGGGACACACCUGGGCGUGGGUGCAUCCCGGGGAUAAAUACACCUGACUACACCAUUGUUGCUUCUAUAUAGUUUACUUUAUUUAAUAAACCUUCUUUGUUACGGGCUACGAGCCGGUUCGUAACAAUUGCCUGGCUAAAUGAUGUAGAUUACACGUGAAAUUUCACUAUCUUUGAAACUUUUGUUUGUUUAUUUCACUUGCUUUGGCAAUGUAAACAUAUGUUUCCCAUGCCAAUAAAACCACUUUAAAUUGAA